CUGAAGACCCACAACUGCAGUAGCCAGUCAGCAACAUGUGCUAAUAACGAUGGGUCCUAUGUAUGCGAGUGCCGUCCAGGGUUUAAAACCUGGAAUGGCACUGACUGUCAAGAUGUUGAUGAAUGUAGCUUGAAGACUGAUGGUUGCACUGGUCUGGCAACAUGCGUUAACACGUUUGGUUAUUUCCGCUGUGAAUGCCCACCGGGGCUUAAGAGCAAUGGCACCGGCUGUCGAGAACUUGAUGAAUGCGAAAAACGGAAUUUUACAUGCAGCAGUGAUGCUCACUGUACAAAUGAGAGUGGGACAUUCUCAUGUGUUUGCAAGCCUGGAUUUACUGGAGAAGG